rnacentral:rRNA from 1 species
GACGAACGCUGGCGGCGUGCUUAACACAUGCAAGUCGAACGAAGUGGCGAACGGGUGAGUAACGCGUAAUCAACCUGCCCUUCAGAGGGGGAAAACAGUUGGAAACGACUGCUAAUACCGAAUCCUGAAGGGGGGGUAUGCGUUUGAUUAGCUAGUUGGAGGGGGAACGGCCCACCAAGGCGAUGAUCAUUAGCCGGACUGAGAGGGUGAACGGCCACAUUGGGACUGGGACACGGCCCAGACUCCUACGGGAGGGAGAAGUGGGGAAUCUUCCGCAAUGGACGAAAGUCUGACGGAGCAACGCCGCGUGAGUGAUGACGGCCUUCGGGUUGUAAAGCUCUGUUAAUCGGGACGCGGUACCGGAAUAGAAAGCCACGGCUAACUACGUGCCAGCAGCCGCGGUAAUAC